rnacentral:misc_RNA from 1 species
UUGCAGGGAAGGUACACAGAACA